CCCCCAGGCCCUGGUAUUUGAAAUCAGCCCACAGUUUGGACCGCCCUUUGGUGAGCUUCGUUGGGCGCGGCGGCUUCCUGAGGUUGAUAGGGACCAUCAGGUCCUGACUCUUCGAAGUUCUUGUCACUAUCACAGUGACAAACAUCUUGGAAAGUCGACCGAUAUCUUUCCUCUCCGGAUCGACGAGAAUGCGACAAACUGCCUCUCUAUUCAACUCGUUAUAGGAGGAGAGCUUUAGACUGUAUUUCGUCUCCGGGGACACAUUCAAGAUGUGUGAGAUUUGAGGCGUAAUUGAAAGAGACUACCGUCUGUCAGCAUUGGUACCGCAGUGGGGAGGGGACAUAGUAGACCAAAGUGGAAUGCAAACAAAGGAGGAAGCUGAAGCAAAGAAACCAAAAAAGAGCCACCAGAACCUGACAACGAGUAGGUUUCAACAAUAACACAUGCAACAUAGCGUAUACCAAUUCAGGAAAUCGUAAACAUAGGGGCC
rnacentral:sRNA from 2 species